UACAUGGGGUGCAAACGUUGCUCGGAAUCAUUGGGCGUAAAGCGCGCGUAGGCGGUUAUUUAAGUUUGAUGUGAAAUCUCCGGGCUUAACCCGGAAAUGGCAUUGAAUACUACUGUGCUGGAGGUUUGGAGGGGGGACUGGAAUUCUCGGUGUAGCAGUGAAAUGCGUAGAUAUCGAGAGGAACACCAGUGGCGAAGGCGAGUCCCUGGACAACACCUGACACUGAGGCACGAAAGCUAGGGGAGCAAACAGG
rnacentral:rRNA from 1 species